GACGAACGCUGGCGGCGUGCUUAACACAUGCAAGUCGAACGAAGAGCGAUGGAAGCUUGCUUCUAUCAAUCUUAGUGGCGAACGGGUGAGUAACGCGUAAUCAACCUGCCCUUCAGAGGGGGACAACAGUUGGAAACGACUGCUAAUACCGCAUACGAUCUAAUCUCGGCAUCGAGGAUAGAUGAAAGGUGGCCUCUACAUGUAAGCUAUCACUGAAGGAGGGGAUUGCGUCUGAUUAGCUAGUUGGAGGGGUAACGGCCCACCAAGGCGAUGAUCAGUAGCCGGUCUGAGAGGAUGAACGGCCACAUUGGGACUGAGACACGGCCCAGACUCCUACGGGAGGCAGCAGUGGGGAAUCUUCCGCAAUGGACGAAAGUCUGACGGAGCAACGCCGCGUGAGUGAUGACGGCCUUCGGGUUGUAAAGCUCUGUUAAUCGGGACGAAAGGCCUUCUUGCGAAUAGUGAGAAGGAUGACGGNA
rnacentral:rRNA from 1 species